UCCGGCUUCGGUCGGGAGGAGACUGGCGAACGGGUGAGUAACGCGUAGGCAAUCUGCCCAUAACAGGGGGAUAACCCCGCGAAAGCGGAGCUAAUACCCCACGAUGUCCCGAGGGAGCAUUCUCUCGGGAUUAAAGCCUUCGGGCGGUUAUGGAUGAGCCUGCGUGCCAUUAGCUUGUUGGUAGUGUAACGGACUACCAAGGCGAUGAUGGCUAGGGGGUCUGAGAGGAUGAUCCCCCACACUGGGACUGAGACACGGCCCAGACUCCUACGGGAGGCAGCAGUGAGGAAUCUUGCGCAAUGGGCGAAAGCCUGACGCAGCCACGCCGCGUGCCGGAUGAAGGUCCUAUGGAUUGUAAACGGCUUUUGAUUGGGAAGAACCCCGGAGAUUCGUCUUCGGUUGACGGUACCGAUUGAAUAAGCACCGGCUAACUCCGUGCCAGCAGCCGCGGUAAUACGGAGGGUGCAAGCGUUGUCCGGAAUCAUUGGGUGUAAAGGGUGCGUAGGCGGGCAUCUAAGUCCGGGGUGAAAUCUUGCCGCUUAACGGUAAAAUUGCCCUGGAUACUGGGUGUCUUGAAUCCAGAAGAGGUCGGUGGAAUUCGUGGUGUAGCGGUGAAAUGCAUAGAUAUCACGAAGAACAUCAGUGGCGAAGGCGGCCGACUGGGCUGGUAUUGACGCUGAGGCACGAGAGCGUGGGGAGCGAACAGGAUUAGAUACCCUGGUAGUCCACGCUGUAA
rnacentral:rRNA from 1 species